rnacentral:lncRNA from 1 species
GUUGUCAUACAGGAGCUUCAGAGCACACUUCUGCCCCGUCUCCUUGUGGAAGCACUCCAGCACUUUGCCGUUGAUUCCUAACCCCAGCACCCGCUUGGACAGCUUGUAGUCAUCCGUGACGGCGUGUUUCUUUAUCUCUAGCUUGACGUGGGCCGCUCCCCCGGGCACGGGCUUCACGCCGCUCCUGCUCUCCACGUGGCUCUCGGGCUGGGAUUCCUGCUCUCCUCCAUCGCGUUCCAUAGCAGGCGACAGCCCGCGGCCACCGCGACGCCCACCGGGCGACCCUUCCUCUCCGUCCCCCGGCGCGCUCGGCCCGCUCACACAGCGCCCGCCAUCGAGUCCUGGCCCGUGGCGGCGCGGCCCCGGCCGACGCUUCCCGGCGCGGAGUCCCGGAGGGCGGGCGCUGCCUGGGUCCGCCCCGGGCAGGUGCGCGCCGCCCCCCGCGCCGAGGGGAGGCCCCGGCCCCAAGGGAGCACCGCGG